UGGAAAGUUGCAAUUCUUUAUGGUCUACUAGUUAGCCUAAAGAAUGAUGGCAAUAAAAGGAAGUCAAGGAUCUUUUGAAUAUGCGCAUUUUGGAAGAUUCUAGACCUGCCAAGACUUAUGCCAACAACCACUGGACUUGAUCAGUACAAGAAAGGUACAUCAACUGAAAUGUCAAGUCUCAGAGGUAUUCAACUUAUCACUUUACUUAACUGCAAAAUGAUCACAUGUUAUAUUUUCUUUAUGUACAAUGUUCAUGGUUCUGAGUGGAUUUUGGAGAACAUAUCCAUUUAGUUGUUAAGAGGUUUAUAGUUAUUUUUGGGGAUUGCCUAAUCUAUUGGAAUGGUACCUCAAAGAUACUGUGCUUAACCUGUACAACUAUAUAGAUAUUGUUUUACAGAUUGUCAAAAAGACAGGGGAUUUAUUCUCUCAUGAAGCUGUCAUUCGUGGAAGGAGGUUGAUUUCUUGUUAUAAUAAGAAGAUGUCAAGAACAAGGAAAUAACUCCAUUUCCAGCAACUCUGUGAAGCACUCUCUACUCCCUGGAACCUAAGGAUCUUGCUAUUGGAACCUAAGGACCUACUGCUCGAUCUAAUGCUCGUUGACAUAAGGUAUUACUUCUUUCAUGAGCAUGUCUAUCGUAUUUCUUGAAUGAAUUCAUGAGUAUUAAAAUUGUCUAUACAUAGGACUUGUGAAUUUAUUUAAAAUCCAG
rnacentral:lncRNA from 1 species